UUAGGUUUGCUUUUGGCAUUACUGCUCCAUCCUAAGUCCAGCACUGAGUAUGGCAUCUGGAAUGGCCCAUUGAGGGUGAAAGGCCCGCGGGGGUGGAGAUCAAGUCGGCCAGUAUUGCCCUGAGUAGACCUUGGAGUCGGGUUGUUUGUGAAUGCAGCCCAAAGCGGGUGGUAAACUCCAUCCAAGGCUAAAUACUAACACGAGUCCGAUAGCGAACAAGUACCGUGAGGGAAAGUUGAAAAGUACUUUGAAGAGAGAGUAAACAGUGCGUGAAACCGCUCAGAGGUAAACAGGUGGAGUUGAACUGUAAGCUCCGGGGAUUCAGCUGGUGAGUGUGUCAUGAGCUUGGUCAUUUUCGGCCAUCCUUUAGAGUCCGCUUAGCUGCGGGUCCUUGCUCUUUCGGGAGUGGGGAUGUGCGUUGCGCUUGUCAAGUGCUGUGCGCUCUGGAGGUUGCUGGGCUGGCUCGCUAGUGCACUUUCUCGGAGUGGUCACCACGACCGGCGUUGUUGCCUUACUGCUGUAGUCAAACCGGUCAGGUUUGGUCCUUGUGGCUGAAUUUGAUCGGGAUGGCAGGUAGCUCAUUGGUUGGCUUGCCAGCCUUUGGGUGUAAUAGCUGGCUGCAGUGGUUUUGUGCAAUACGUCGGAGACGGCGGCUUCAGGUAUGAGCUUUUGUGUCGUGGGCUGGCAGUGUCGAGUUUGACUGGCAU
rnacentral:rRNA from 1 species